rnacentral:rRNA from 1 species
UACGUAGGGCGCAAGCGUUGUCCGGAAUUAUUGGGCGUAAAGAGCUCGUAGGUGGUUUGUCGCGUUGUUCGUGAAAACUCACAGCUCAACUGUGGGCGUGCGGGCGAUACGGGCAGACUAGAGUACUGCAGGGGAGACUGGAAUUCCUGGUGUAGCGGUGGAAUGCGCAGAUAUCAGGAGGAACACCGGUGGCGAAGGCGGGUCUCUGGGCCGAUACUGACGCUGAGGAGCGAAAGCGUGGGGAGCGAACAGG